rnacentral:rRNA from 1 species
UGGGGAAUAUUGCACAAUGGGCGGAAGCCUGAUGCAGCGACGCCGCGUGGGGGAUGACGGCCUUCGGGUUGUAAACUCCUUUCGACAGGGACGAAGCUUUUUGUGACGGUACCUGUAUAAGAAGCACCGGCUAACUACGUGCCAGCAGCCGCGGUAAUACGUAGGGUGCGAGCGUUGUCCGGAAUUACUGGGCGUAAAGAGCUCGUAGGUGGUUUGUCGCGUCGUCUGUGAAAUUCCGGGGCUUAACUCCGGGCGUGCAGGCGAUACGGGCAUAACUUGAGUGCUGUAGGGGAGACUGGAAUUCCUGGUGUAGCGGUGAAAUGCGCAGAUAUCAGGAGGAACACCGAUGGCGAAGGCAGGUCUCUGGGCAGUUACUGACGCUGAGGAGCGAAAGCAUGGGUAGCGAACAGG